ACUAACAAUUCAAGACGAGGAUUCGGCCGUCGUGGUCGAAUUUAGAACGGGGGAAGUCCGGUGAAAUUCCGGCACUGUGCCGCAACGGUUAGAGUCCGAAUGCCUGCUUCGUCGGAGAGCUUUCGC
rnacentral:ncRNA from 19 species